rnacentral:rRNA from 1 species
UACGAAGGGGGGCUAGCGUUGCUCGGAAUCACUGGGCGUAAAGCGCACGUAGGCGGAUUGUUAAGUCAGGGGUGAAAUCCUGGAGCUCAACUCCAGAACUGCCUUUUGAUACUGGGGGAUCUCGAGUCCGGGAGAGGUGAGUGGAACUGCGAGUGUAGAGGUGAAAUUCGUAGAUAUUCGCAAGAACACCAGUGGCGAAGGCGGCUCACUGGCCCGGAACUGACGCUGAGGUGCGAAAGCGUGGGGAGCAAACAGG